GUCACGGUGGCCGAGUGGUUAAGGCGGCAGACUCAAGAAUUUGGUUCUUGGCCCUCAUUUAGAGUGCUUCUGUUGGAGAGAUCCGCGCGCGUUCAAAUCGCGUCCGUGACA